UCAGAACGAACGCUGGCGGCGUGCUUAACACAUGCAAGUCAGGGAGAAAGUUCUUUCGGGAGCGAGUAAACCGGCGCACGGGUGAGUAACAUGUGAGUAACCUUCCUUUUAGACUGGAACAACUUACCGAAAGGUGAGCUAAUGCCGGAUGAAUUAUGUAACCGCAUGGUUAUAUAGAAAAAGCCGGGGCAACCUGGCGCUAAAGAUGGACUCGCGUCCCAUUAGCUAGUUGGUGGGGUAGAGGCCUACCAAGGCGACGAUGGGUAGCCGGCCUGAGAGGGUGGCCGGCCACACUGGGACUGAGACACGGCCCAGACUCCUACGGGAGGCAGCAGUGGGGAAUUUUGCGCAAUGCUCGAAAGAGUGACGCAGCGACGCCGCGUGAAUGACGAAGGCCUUCGGGUCGUAAAGUUCUUUCGACAGGGAAGAAAUUGUGUAACAGUAACUGGUUAUAUAUUGACGGUACCUGUAUAAGCAGCCCCGGCUAACUCCGUGCCAGCAGCCGCGGUAAUACGGAGGGGGCGAGCGUUGUUCGGAGUGACUGGGCGUAAAGAGCACGUAGGCGGUGUUGUAAGUCAUUAGUCAAAGACUAGAGCUCAACUUUAGUAAGGCUAGUGAUACUAUAGUACUAGAGUAUCAGAGAGGAUUGCAGAAUUCCUGGUGUAGCGGUGAAAUGCGUAGAUAUCAGGAGGAAUACC
rnacentral:rRNA from 1 species